AAGAAUUUAGUUAAAUCUAUAACAUUAAUUUGUCAAAUUAAAAUUAUUUAAAAAUAAUUCUAA
rnacentral:tRNA from 1 species